AGCUUUGCUCAGUGGCAGUAUAUCAUAGCCAGUGAGGUUCAUCUGAGGCUCAAUUAUUGCUAAUUGAAAACUUUUCCCAAUACCUCACUAUGACAAGUUGCAAUACAGUUGGCUUUGCCAAUUUUUGACAGUCUCUAUGGAGA
rnacentral:snRNA from 1 species